rnacentral:tRNA from 1 species
GCCCAGGUGGUGGAAUUGGUAGACACGCUAGCUUGAGGGGCUAGUGAGGGCAACCUUGUAAGGGUUCGAGUCCCUUCCUGGGCACCA